rnacentral:rRNA from 1 species
CGUGAAAUUGUUGAAAGGGAAGCGCUUGCAACCAGACUUGCACGCGGUUGAUCAUCCGGUGUUCUCACCGGUGCACUUGGCCGCGUUCAGGCCAGCAUCGGUUCAGGUGGCAGGAUAAAGGCCUUGGGAAUGUAGCUUCUUUCGGGGAGUGUUAUAGCCCUCGGUGCAAUGCUGCCUACCUGGACCGAGGACCGCGCUUCGGCUAGGAUGCUGGCGUAAUGGUUGUAAGCGACCCGUCUUGAAACACGG